GACGAACGCUGGCGGCGUGCUUAACACAUGCAAGUCGAACGAAGAGCGAUGGAAGCUUGCUUCUAUCAAUCUUAGUGGCGAACGGGUGAGUAACGCGUAAUCAACCUGCCCUUCAGAGGGGGACAACAGUUGGAAACGACUGCUAAUACCGCAUACGAUCUAAUCUCGGCAUCGAGGAUAGAUGAAAGGUGGCCUCUACAUGUAAGCUAUCACUGAAGGAGGGGAUUGCGUCUGAUUAGCUAGUUGGAGGGGUAACGGCCCACCAAGGCGAUGAUCAGUAGCCGGUCUGAGAGGAUGAACGGCCACAUUGGGACUGAGACACGGCCCAGACUCCUACGGGAGGCAGCAGUGGGGAAUCUUCCGCAAAGGACGAAAGUCUGACGGAGCAACGCCGCGUGAGUGAUGACGGCCUUCGGGUUGUAAAGCUCUGUUAAUCGGGACGAAAGGCCUUCUUGCGAAUAGUGAGAAGGAUUGACGGUACCGGAAUAGAAAGCCACGGCUAACUACGU
rnacentral:rRNA from 1 species